AUAUAUCAUUACAUAAAAUGACUAGGUGUCUUUAUCUAGUGCAAAGGAUAAAGGGAAUGGACCCCACAUCUAUAAAUAAAUAUUAUGCACCUUUCCUUUUAAGUUAAAACAAUUCUUAAAGUGUAGGACUCAUAUUCCAUCUUCAGAAUGUUCCCUAGCGUGUUCAAAUGGAAAUAAAAAUAGGACAAAGUUUUGGGCAACAACAACGAGAAAGAAAUCACGAUUUGAAAACUAUUCACAUAUCGGUUUCGUAAUUCUAUCACGAUUUCCUCUGGAUCAUAGCAAAUUGGAGAUUUCUUUUUCUGAAUUGAAGUAAAGUAGAAGAAGAUUAUCUCUUGACAUAUAAGGCUAAAAGAGCGACGAGACGAACGGGUUACGAAGAGUCGCUAACAAGGUACAGAGGUUCGUGAUCCGUCAGAGUAAGCCACAUAUUCUGCUAUCACAGAGUGCUCCUUUGAUUCGGAGCCCAUAUGUUGGUACAUAUCUUUUAUGAUGUAUAUGUCUCCAUAUAUUUGACUAUUUGGGGUACGGCGGGGCCCUGUCCCGUCAUAUGAUUCCGUUAUGAUUUGUAGAGGCCUGUAGUCAUAUAUGUGGGUCAUUGGUCAGGUGUGUAUGUUCGUUUGUUUAUGAUCUGCGUCUUAAUGCGGUCCUGUUUGCUAUUAUGGCCAAAACGACCCAGUUGUCUGUGUACGUGUAUGUAUCUGGCGAUGUAUAUUCCGCCAACCUAUCAGAUUUGGAUACGGCCAAAAUGGCCUGUAUAUUUGUGUAUGUAUAUAUAUUCGGCGAUGUGUAUUCCGUCGCCUCUUUUGGUUCUGAUAUGAUAAUUUGUACGCGCA